rnacentral:rRNA from 1 species
AGAGUUUGAUCCUGGCUCAGGAUGAACGCUGGCGGCGUGCCUAACACAUGCAAGUCGAGCGAGAAGCUGAUGACAGAUACUUCGGUUGAAGGAGUCAGUGGAAAGCGGCGGACGGGUGAGUAACGCGUAGGCAACCUGCCCUUUGCACAGGGAUAGCCAUUGGAAACGAUGAUUAAAACCUGAUAACACCAUUUGGUUACAUGAGCAGAUGGUCAAAGAUUUAUCGGCAAAGGAUGGGCCUGCGUCUGAUUAGCUAGUUGGUAAGGUAACGGCUUACCAAGGCGACGAUCAGUAGCCGACCUGAGAGGGUGAACGGCCACAUUGGAACUGAGACACGGUCCAAACUCCUACGGGAGGCAGCAGUGGGGAAUAUUGCACAAUGGGCGAAAGCCUGAUGCAGCAACGCCGCGUGAAGGAAGAAGGCCUUCGGGUCGUAAACUUCUGUCCUUGGGGAAGAAGAACUGACGGUACCCAAGGAGGAAGCCCCGGCUAACUACGUG